rnacentral:rRNA from 1 species
AACUGGAGGACUGGAGAGCAGGAGAGGGCGGUGGAACUCCAUGUGUAGCGGUAAAAUGCGUAGAUAUAUGGAAGAACACCAGUGGCGAAGGCGGCCGCCUGGCCUGUUGCUGACGCUGAGGCACGAAAGCGUGGGGAGCAAAUAGGAUUAGAUACCCUAGUAGUCCACGCCGUAAACGAUGAGGACCAAGUGUUGGGGGUGAAACCUCAGUGCUGAAGUUAACGCAGUGAGUCCUCCGCCUGGGGAGUAUGCACGCAAGUGUGAAACUCAAAGGAAUUGACGGGGGCCCGCACAAGCGGUGGAGUAUGUGGUUUAAUUCGAAGCAACGCGAAGAACCUUACCAGGCCUUGACAUGGAUGCGAAGACGCAGAGAUGCGUUGGAGGUCAACAUCCACACAGGUGGUGCAUGGUUGUCGUCAGCUCGUGUCGUGAGAUGUUGGGUCAAGUCCCGCAACGAGCGCAACCCUUGUGGCAUGUUGCUAACAGGAAAGCUGAGGACUCAUGCCAGACUGCCGGUGACAAACCGGAGGAAGGCGGGGAUGACGUCAAAUCAUCAUGCCCCUUAUGGCCUGGGCUACACACGUACUACAAUGGCGGCUACAAAGAGCGGCGAGACAGUAAUGUCGAGCGAAUCUCAUAAAAGCCGUCCCAGUUCGGAUUGGAGCCUGCAACCCGGCUCCAUGAAGUUGGAAUCGCUAGUAAUCGCGGAUCAGCAUGCCGCGGUGAAUACGUUCCCGGGCCUUGCACACACCGCCCGUCAAG